CUACGGGGCGCUCCAGUGGGGAAUUUUGGACAAUGGACGCAAGUCUGAUCCAGCCAUUCCGCGUGCAGGAUGAAGGCCCUCGGGUUGUAAACUGCUUUUGUACGGAACGAAAAGGUCUCUCCUAAUACGAGGGGCUCAUGACGGUACCGUAAGAAUAAGCACCGGCUAACUACGUGCCAGCAGCCACGGUAAUACGUAGGGUGCAAGCGUUAAUCGGAAUUACUGGGCGUAAAGCGUGCGCAGGCGGUUAUAUAAGACAGAUGUGAAAUCCCCGGGCUCAACCUGGGAACUGCAUUUGUGACUGUAUAGCUAGAGUACGGUAGAGGGGGAUGGAAUUCCGCGUGUAGCAGUGAAGUGCGUAGAUAUGCGGAGGAACACCGAUGGCGAAGGCAAUCCCCUGGACCUGUACUGACGCUCAUGCACGAAAGCGUGGGGAGCAAACAGGAUUAGAUACCCGAGUAGUC
rnacentral:rRNA from 1 species